UUAACCACCGCAUCACCUGCUGGGCCCAGGCCACCCUCAUAAGCUCCCAUCAGAAGCACGUGAAAACCAGAAGCACCUGGCAAGGCAGAGAAGACGGAGGCGGAGGCCCAGGCUGCAGGCAGCUGGGGGCAUUGGGGAGGCAAUGGGCCGGGCCUACAGCGUCCACCUGGCACUUCCCCUGCUUACACAGGUCUCCCCACCACCCAACCCUACAUCCGGGCGGCCCUCCUAUAGACAUCCACUGAAGCGGAGGCAGCUUUGGUGCAGACGUGACCUGAGUCCUCCAGUCCCAGAAACUCGCGAGAGGACCGUGAACAGGCCCGCUGACUGCGCUGGUGAAGGCUGACCCCUUCGCCCUGGGGACUACGUCCCAGGACUCAGGUGGAUGCCCGAGACAGCGGAGAGAGCCAGAGCCGCGUCUCUGUGGUCCGACGGAGGGGUAGAACGCGUGUGCACAAGAGAAAGAGGAGCGCCCUCCGCAGGGCCCGGCCGCACCCCAGCCCUCUCUCCAGUCCUCCAGCCAUCAGACCUCGGGCUCUGAGCAGGCGCCCAGCGUGCUUCAGGCCCAGUGGACCAGGGACUGGAAUCGGUCGCCACCUGGGCCCAGCCGCCUAUGAGAGCGUGCCACCACUGCGCAUGCAGCACGCCCUUCAUAGUAAGCCGUAACCGUGUUCCCCAGUCCCCGGAGUCAUCCCUGCAGACCCCGAUUUACAGUCAGGAGGCCGAGGAUGGGCUAAGGCCUAUCAGCACCUGGCAUGGGCCGUCUUGUGGGACUGAGGCCUGCACCUGUGGGAUCCGACACGAUUUCCAGGUAGACAGCAUCAGACCUGAAUUGCAGCACUGGACCCCCAGAUGGUGUCCUCGGGAGAGUGCUAGGUGCGUGGGGAAGCCCCCACACCAGGUCCCAGAACACUCUGGGCUAUGCGCGAGCGGAGGAGACAGUCGCUCGGCUCGUGGGCUUCCUUGUCCUUGCACCCUUGAGAACCGGCUUGCGUUGCUGCUGCUGGACUCGCCUGCCCCUCCUCUGUCGUUUCACAAGGGAAGAGGAGGAUUUAGCUCUUCCCCUCCCUGACCCCCUCCCACAACUUCCACCAUUACAGAUGAAUCUUUUUUCUUUUUUUUUGCCAGAUGAAGUGUACACUGGAGAGAGAGGAGGAGAGAGAAGCCCUCCCCACGAGGGGCGGCCAUGCCUCGAUCCCCUCUCCACUUCUGCCUCUUCUCAGGGUUCUGGGCAUGCGCACGCCCAGUGUGUUUCUUGAGCUGCUGGGUCUGGGAUUCAAACCACACGGUCAGCCACGUGGGAUCGGCUGCCUUACUGAGCCAUAGACCCAGCCCUCGUCACAGUUUCUCUACUAUAAAUGAAAACCUGACUUUCGGGCAAUAACCCUGAAAAUGUGGGGCAUGACCAAAGUCUUAGGCUCAUAGUUACUUAACCCUUUAAAACUUGGGGCCAGCAGGUGGUGUGGUGGUUGCGGGACUGGAUUUCCACAUGACCCAC